UACGUAGGGUGCAAGCGUUAAUCGGAAUUACUGGGCGUAAAGCGUGCGCAGGCGGUUUUGUAAGUCUGUCGUGAAAGCCCCGGGCUCAACCUGGGAAUUGCGAUGGAGACUGCAAGGCUUGAAUCUGGCAGAGGGGGGUAGAAUUCCACGUGUAGCAGUGAAAUGACGUAGAGAUGCGGAGGAACACCGAUGGCGAAGGCAGCCCCCUGGGCUAACACUGACGCUCAGGCACGAAAGCGUGGGGAGCAAACAGG
rnacentral:rRNA from 1 species